rnacentral:rRNA from 1 species
UUCGGACCUAGAGACCGGCGCACGGGUGCGUAACGCGUAUGCAAUCUACCUUUUAUAGAGGGAUAGCCCAGAGAAAUUUGGAUUAAUACCUCAUAGUAUUAUUGAAUGGCAUCAUUUAAUAAUUAAAGUCACAACGGUAAAAGAUGAGCAUGCGUCCCAUUAGCUAGUUGGUAAGGUAACGGCUUACCAAGGCAACGAUGGGUAGGGGUCCUGAGAGGGAGAUCCCCCACACUGGUACUGAGACACGGACCAGACUCCUACGGGAGGCAGCAGUGAGGAAUAUUGGUCAAUGGGCGCAAGCCUGAACCAGCCAUGCCGCGUGCAGGAUGACGGUCCUAUGGAUUGUAAACUGCUUUUGUACAGGAAGAAACAGUUCUACGUGUAGAACCUUGACGGUACUGUAAGAAUAAGGAUCGGCUAACUCCGUGCCAGCAGCCGCGGUAAUACGGAGGAUCCAAGCGUUAUCCGGAAUCAUUGGGUUUAAAGGGUCCGUAGGCGGUUUUGUAAGUCAGUGGUGAAAGCCCAUCGCUCAACGGUGGAACGGCCAUUGAUACUGCAAGACUUGAAUUAUUGGGAAGCAACUAGAAUAUGUAGUGUAGCGGUGAAAUGCUUAGAGAUUACAUGGAAUACCAAUUGCGAAGGCAGGUUGCUACCAAUAUAUUGACGCUGAUGGACGAAAGCGUGGGGAGCGAACAGGAUUAGAUACCCUGGUA